UCGCUUCCAGGGCCCGCAAA
rnacentral:misc_RNA from 1 species